rnacentral:tRNA from 1 species
GAGGGUAUAAGCUCAGCAGCAGAGCAUUUGCCUGGCAUACACAAGACCCUGGGAUGAAUCCCCAGUAUCAUCA